rnacentral:rRNA from 1 species
AACGAACGCUGGCGGCAGGCCUAACACAUGCAAGUCGAACGCCGUAGCAAUACGGAGUGGCAGACGGGUGAGUAACACGUGGGAACGUACCCUUCGGUUCGGAAUAACUCAGGGAAACUUGAGCUAAUACCGGAUACGUCCGAGAGGAGAAAGAUUUAUCGCCGAGGGAUCGGCCCGCGUCUGAUUAGCUUGUUGGUGAGGUAACGGCUCACCAAGGCGACGAUCAGUAGCUGGUCGAGAGGAUGAUCAGCCACAUUGGGACUGAGACACGGCCCAAACUCCUACGGGAGGCAGCAGUGGGGAAUAUUGGACAAUGGGCGCAAGCCUGAUCCAGCCAUGCCGCGUGAGCGAUGAAGGCCCUAGGGUUGUAAAGCUCUUUUACCCGGGAAG